rnacentral:rRNA from 1 species
UACGUAGGUGGCAAGCGUUGUCCGGAUUUACUGGGUGUAAAGGGCGUGUAGCCGGGCUGACAAGUCAGAUGUGAAAUCCGGGGGCUCAACCCCCGAACUGCGUUUGAAACUGUUGGUCUUGAGUAUCGGAGAGGCAGGCGGAAUUCCUAGUGUAGCGGUGAAAUGCGUAGAUAUUAGGAGGAACACCAGUGGCGAAGGCGGCCUGCUGGACUGUAACUGACGUUGAGGCUCGAAAGCGUGGGGAGCAAACAGG